UCACAUGUGGAAAUGUCUGCUCCUCAUUUCUUGGGGAACAGAAAUACACCCAUAACACUCUACAUUAAAAAAAGGAGUUCUCAGGGCUGUCAGCCUUACAGUAGAAGUUGACUAGUAGCAUAUUUCUCCUACAUAG